UGAAUACGAGAUGCUACGGCGUCGAAGCAGUGUAUGUCAGACUUCCAAGAAAAGCUCGCAAUGUCAUAAAUAAAGAAUGCCUGUACCAUAACCGACACAGGUGGGUAGGUAGAGUAUACUAAGGGGCGCGAGAUAACUCUCUCUAAGGAACUCGGCAAAAUAACUCCGUAACUUCGGGAGAAGGAGUGCCUUCUAUUAGAAGGUUGCAAUAACAAGAUCCAAGCAACUGUUUAUCAAAAACACAGGUCUCCGCUAAGUCGUAAGACGAUGUAUGGGGGCUGACGCCUGCCCAGUGCCAGAAGGUUAAAGAAGUUGGUUAGCUUUGGCGAAGCUGAUGACUGAAGCCCUGGUGAACGGCGGCCGUAACAAUAACGGUCCUAAGGUAGCGAAAUUCCUUGUCGGGUAAGUUCCGACCCGCACGAAAGGCGUAAUGAUUUGGAUACUGUCUCGGAGAGGGACUCGGUGAAAUAGACUUGUCUGUGAAGAUGCGGACUACCUGCACCAGGACAGAAAGACCCUAUGAAGCUUUACUGUAACUUGAAAUUGAAAUUGGACUUUAUUUGCGCAGCAUAGGUGGAAGGCGUUGAGAUUACUCUUGCGGGAGUACUGGAGCCAUCAGUGAGAUACCACUCCUAUAAUGUUAGAUUUCUAACUUUGGAUCAUGAUCUGGUCAAAGAACAGUUUCAGGCGGGCAGUUUGUCUGGGGCGGUCGCCUCCCAAAUGGUAACGGAGGCGUACAAAGGUUUCCUCUGAACGGGUAGAAAUCGUAUCUAGAGUGUAAAGGCAUAAGGAAGCUUGACUGUGAGACCUACAAGUCGAGCAGGGACGAAAGUCGGUCUUAGUGAUCUGACGGUGCUGAGUGGAAAGGCCGUCACUCAACGGAUAAAAGUUACUCUAGGAUAACAGGCUGAUCUCCCCCAAGAGUUCACAUCGACGGGGAGGUUUGGCACCUUGAUGUCGGCUCAUCGCAUCCUGGGGCGGUAGUACGUCCCAAGGGUUGGGCUGUUCGCCCAUGAAAGCGGUACGCGAGCUGGGUUCAGAACGUCGUGAGACAGUUCGGUCCAUAUCCGGUGUAGGCGUUAGAAUAUUGAGAGGAGCCUUCUUUAGUACGAGAGGACCGAGAAGGACAUACCUCUGGUGUACCAGUUAUCGUGCCAACGGUAAACGCUGGGUAGCUAUGUAUGGAGAGGAUAACCGCUGAAAGCAUCUAAGUGGGAAGCCCACCUCAAGAUGAGUAUUCUCGUA
rnacentral:rRNA from 1 species